GGGGGUGAAUUAGUUUCGACGUGGGUAGGGAGAGCACCAGAAGCGAGCCGAGGACCCCAAUGCCUCGUUAAAAGUGGGAAAGCAAUAACUGCAAACAACAAUUACGCCUUAGCUGCUUAGUUCAGCUAACGUCCCUUGUUUCUUUGUCUGUAGGAAAUAAGAGUGACGUCAAAUUACAGACUACCCUUUGAGCAGCGCCCGGAGCUGAAAGGGGAAAUUUACGGGCUGGUUUGUCCUUUAGCUGGCCACAAAGUAGAAGGAUGAACGAGAACUAGAUUUGUGGCUGCGCUCGGAGAUGCUGGUGUAAUUUCACUUGCGGACAGCGGUGCAACUCCGCUCACCUCCACCA
rnacentral:tmRNA from 1 species